GGGGGUAUAGCUCAGCUGGGAGAGCGCUUGCAUGGCAUGCAAGAGGUCCGCAGUUCGAUCCUGCGUACCUCCACCA
rnacentral:tRNA from 5 species